rnacentral:rRNA from 1 species
GUCACUUUCGCUUCUUCCCUGCUAAAAGAGGUUUACAACCCGAAGGCCUUCAUCCCCCACGCGGCGUUGCUGCAUCAGGCUUGCGCCCAUUGUGCAAUAUUCCCCACUGCUGCCU